rnacentral:rRNA from 1 species
AUGACUCAACUUUAUACUAACUUUAGUGCAAAGUUGGGUCAUCUAUUUUGGAACGGAGGGAGUACUACACUACAUCAGAGAGUUCGAUGGUCUGAAGCUGAUAACACUGCCAACCCCAGUAAGUUGUCAAACCUCUUCAUUACUGUUGAGAUCGCAAACAUGCAGUUACUAACAGACAUGCUCCCUGCAGGGCUUGAUUUCAUACCUAAGGAUGCAGAUGGCGUACAAGAUUCUCAGGAUAAAGGCAACAAGGCCGACUUCCCAAACAACAUGUAUGAUUGCGGCACUUGUAGAAGCAGUCGCCGGCGAACUGGCCGCGCAGUCCGGGCAGUGGACUAA